AUUGAACGCUGGCGGCAGGCUUAACACAUGCAAGUCGAGCGAGCGGCGGACGGGUGAGUAAUGUAUGGGAAACUGCCUGAUGGAGGGGGAUAACUACGGGAAACGGUAGAUAAAACCGCAUACCAUCAGAUGUGCCGAGAUGGGAUUAGCUAGUAGGUGGGGAAAAGGCUCACCUAGGCGACGAUCCCUAGCUGGUCUGAGAGGAUGACCAGCCACACUGGAACUGAGACACGGUCCAGACUCCUACGGGAGGCAGCAGUGGGGAAUAUUGCACAAUGGGCGCAAGCCUGAUGCAGCCAUGCCGCGUGUGUGAAGAAGGCCUUCGGGUUGUAAAGCACUUUCAGCGAGGAGGCGUUACCCGCAGAAGAAGCACCGGCUAACUCCGUGCCAGCCGCCGCGGUAAUUC
rnacentral:rRNA from 1 species